AGUGGAUGGGGAGCAACCUAGUUGUGCGUGUGUAAAGGUAGUGCCAAGAAAAGCGAUGAUCAUGUUGAAAAUCAAUUCCCGGUACCCGAAACCGACACAGGUGGGCAAGUAGAGAAUACUAAGGGGCGCGAGGUAACUCUCCCCAAGGAACUCGGCAAAAUGACCCCGUAACUUAGGGAGAAGGGGUGCCACCGAGAGGUGGUCGCAGUGAAGAGGCCCAGGCGACUGUUUAGCAAAAACAUAGGUCUCUGCAAACUCGAAAGAGGAGGUAUAGGGGCUGACGCCUGCCCAGUGCCGGAAGGUUAAAGAAGUUGGUCAGUUUUAGGAUGAAGCUAGCGACUGAAGCCCCGGUGAACGGCGGCCGUAACUAUAACGGUCCUAAGGUAGCGAAAUUCCUUGUCGGGUAAGUUCCGACCCGCACGAAAGGCGUAACGAUCUGGGCGCUGUCUCGGAGAGAGGCUCGGCGAAAUAGGAUUGUCUGUGAAGAUACGGACUACCUGCAUUUGGACAGAAAGACCCUAUGAAGCUUUACUAUAGCUUGGAAUUGUGUUCGGGCUUCCUGUGCGCAGGAUAGGUGGGAGGCGUAGAAGGUAUUCUUGUGGGGAUACUGGAGCCAACGGUGAGAUACCACUCUCAGGAGGCUAGAAUUCUAACUUAAUUAAGGACAGUUUCAGGUGGGUAGUUUGACUGGGGCGGUCGCCUCCAAAAAGGUAACGGAGGCGUACAAAGGUUCCCUCAGACUGGUUGGAAAUCAGUCGAAGAGUGCAAAGGCAGAAGGGAGCUUGACUGCGAGAAGUACAGUUCGAGCAGGGUGGAAACACGGUCUUAGUGAUCCGACGGUGCUGUGUGGAAGGGCCGUCGUUCAACGGAUAAAAGUUACUCUAGGAUAACAGGCUGAUCUCCCCCAAGAGUUCACAUCGACGGGGAGGUUUGGCACCUCGAUGUCGGCUCAUCGCAACCUGGGGCGGAAGUACGUCCCAAGGGUUGGGCUGUUCGCCCAUUAAAGCGGUACGUGAGCUGGGUUCAGAACGUCGUGAGACAGUUCGGUCCAUAUCCGAUGUAGGCGUGAGAAUAUUGAGAGGAGCCUUCCUUAGUACGAGAGGACCGGGAAGGACGCACCGCUGGUGUACCUGUUAUGAUGCCAAUUGUAAACGCAGGGUAGCCAAGUGCGGAGAGGAUAACCGCUGAAAGCAUCUAAGUGGGAAGCCCACCUCAAGAUGAGUAUUCUGGUGUAAGGUCACGGGAAGACGACCCGUAAAUAGGCACGAGGUGGAAGUGCAGAGAUGUAUGAAGCCGAAGUGUACUAAUAGACCGUCGGCUUGACC
rnacentral:rRNA from 1 species